rnacentral:lncRNA from 1 species
UGGCAGGGCCCAGCUGUAUUUCUUUUCCCUCACAUGGGAUUUGUCUUUUCCUACCUACAUUCCAACAGCUCUAUGCCUUUUCUCUUCCCUCACAUUGAUCGGUCAUGCGGGGCCCAGGUUCCAAACUGAUGUGGCGACGAAGGCCCGGGCCUUCCUUUUUCCUUGCCUGGGUCAUGGGUUUGACCCAGGUCUUAACCCAAUGAUCAUUUAGGUAGAUUAUUUUUCACGGGUGGACAUGCAAUUCUUGAAGUUGGAUCAUAAAUUGAGGUGGCUGAAUGCCUAGGUCAGGCUUUUGACCUAAGGGUGGACAUGCUCUUAGUCUUGAGCUGUUCACAAAGCUCUUGUCGAAAUUGGCUGAUUAGAAAAAUAGAUUUUUUGAUUUCACUUUUGAUGUAUCUUACUUAACGCAUAGCUAGCGAUGGUGUGGAUAAUAUCUAUUCUAUCACGUUCUUUUAUAUGUAGGGUAAGUUUAAAUCUUUCAUACCUUUAAAUAUUGAAAGGAUGUUUUUAUGUCAUUCCAUCGUGUUGCGUGGGCGUACAACUAAACCUAGCUUACAACUUUUCACAAUGUAAUACAUAGUACCUUUCAGGGAUGUAAAAGAAAGCAUAAUCCUCUAUCCCAAGAACCUAUCUCUUCGUUAGUGAACUUUAAUUCAUGUUGGAUCGCUUCUUUCCGUGAGGCUAAUCUACUACGUUAACAUUUAUCAAUGAAGUAUGACUUGAUAGUAUAGACUUUAUUCCACAUCCUCAUGUACACUAAUACAAUAAGUAUUUGUAGAG